UCGUAUUUGAAAAUUCAGAUUGCUAACUGAACAAAUCCGCUGCGUAUCGAGUUUGCACUAUAAUGCUUCUUUGGGUGUGAUUUGAUUUCCUUGUUGUGUCGCAGUUGUCGAGUCCUUGAUUAAAUCCUGUAAUACACUGAAAUUGUGGUGUUGCUAUGAGCAGGUGACGUUUAGUUUGACCUUUUCAGUUUGGAAAUCUGCAAGACCUUGUUUCUGAAUAAUAUUGUCAUCACUAUCUUCUGAGUCCUGUAACACCCUGAAAUUGUGGUCUUGCUCCUACUUUAACUUUUUCAGUUUGGAAAUCUUUCAAGCCUUGUCUCUGAAUCAGAAUGUCGUCAGUGUCUUCUGAAUCUUGUGAGUUGCACAGACAAAAACAUCAUCUACCCUUUGCAUCUUCAGUUGCACACUAAUUUUUUUUGUUUCCCUAUAUGAAUCUAGACGCAACAUGGGCGAAUAAAAAAAUUGAGUGAAAGUUUAAACGGGUCUGGCAUGAUCUCCUAACGUUAGACUAAAACGGCUUUCUGCUUCGCACAGGAACAUGACGACGGAGUCAAUCCUAUUUACUACACCGUGAUUCCUUUCUUUGAACUGUGCGGGCCCUGCUGUGCCAUCUUGUCUACAUGAGCUGCCGCUGUUUAUUUACUGGCAAUACAGGAGAUCAAAAAGGGUACGACGCUGAAAUACGGUAGAGGCCUGGUUGCGUGGCGCUCAUCAAGAGGGCGCAAAUUUCGGCCUCCAUGGUGCGCGGCCACCAAAUGGCAUUUUCGUCUAUUAUCCCUCUUCAAAGCUAGUCACGCUGCUGAUUGAUUGCCGCCGGCCGGAGACCCACGAACUCAGAACUUGACUCUCUCUUCUGGAUGAAUUCUCUCUGCUACACUACAUACAUACACAACUGCCUUGUACCCACUACGGCAAGGAGGGUGAGACGAAGGAAAUAGGGCACACAUGGGCGUACCUAGGUUCUAGAUAUUGGAAACUCAUCUAUUUAUGUUUUUUUAGGAGAAUGCUUAGGUCGUCAUUCCAUUAUAAGGGCAAUGGUGGGUAAUUAUUUCUCUAUUAAUAUAAUCUAAUGGCUAUAAAAACUAUACCUAUUCAAUGAAGGGUCAGAUGUUUCUAAUUUUUGUGGUGAUUUUAACCUAUUUAUCUAUUUUUUGGUGAGCCCAUCAUUUACUUUUUAUAUAUAAAUAGAUGGUAAUGAGCAUGUGGUGCCCUUUCCGAAGAAACAAUUCCAAGUGAAUGGUAUUAAUGUUAUUGAAAAAUCUCCGACAAUCACUAUUGGAAGUUUUCAACUACCUCUACCUACUGUUAGAAAGAAAUAUGAAAUACUUAUUGUUGAGGACAUUCAUAUCCCCAUUGAGGUAACUUAGUGAUUUACGAAAGUUCUUUAGUUUCAUGCUAAUAGAAAGUGGUUGUUAAUAAGACUUGAUCAACCUUAUUAAUGAAUUAUUUUUGAGAGGUAUGGAGUUGAUGAAUUUAGUAAGCACUACCUUUUGUUUUCUGUUUUUGUUAGUUAAAUAAAAUAAAAUGCCAUGCUUUGUAUGUUAUCUAAGGUUUCCAUGCAAUAAAAAAAUGACCAAAAAUAAAAGUUCUCGGAAUGCCCUGAACACGAUUUUUUUCUAAAUAUUUCCGAAUUUCUGGUGCAAAUAAUAUCAGAGGGAGGUGUACCAGGUGGGCACAACCCACCUGGGUGCACCAAGACCCCCAGGCUCGCCCUAGUGGGUUGUUGGCCCCACGUGGGCCCCCUCACUUACUUAUUCUUCCUGCAUCACUCCAUUCACCCAGAAAAAAUCACUAUCACUCUCUGUCUCGUGUUCUUGCUCCCGAAACCACGGAUUUUGAUCUCUUUGCUCGAAGCUCCAUUUUCGAAACUGUUUCGGGGAUUUGUUGCUUGGUAUGUGACUCCUCCAUGUGUCCAAUUAGUUUUUGUUUUAGUGGUUUGUAUUUUGAAUAAUUAGCUACACUUGGUGGUGGUGUAGAUGAGCUUGCUUGUUGAAUUCUUAGAGUUUAAGUAGUUUGAAUGCUUUCUAUGGCCUCUAUACAUCCCUAUGAGUAGUUGCUAUCAAUUUUCUAAAGUUUUGUUGAGAAAAUUUUGUGGACUAAAAAUUUCAGAAUUUUGUUCAUAGGAAAAAGUUGAGCUUCUUUGGGAAGUUUGCUUCUAGGAAGAACUCCAAGUGGGUUAUUGGGGAGUCAUCUGACAAUGAUCUCCAUACCCGAAGGUUGGCGGAACUACGGCCGUGCGAGUGGCCGCAUAAUGCAUUCAUGGAAGGGGCUGGAAUCCUUCAAGAGUUCCCACAAUAUGCUGCUAAUGCCGGCCUCACCGACUUCAUCACAGCUGAAUGCGAACAGUAUCAUCUCCUCACAAAUUCCUUUAUGCAAAUAUUUCAUUUCCAUUCUAGGAAUAAUCCCCCUGAGGUGUAGUUUAAUUUAUAUGCUGAAACCCACCAGAUACCACUUACUGAAUUUUGUGACAUAUGCAUGCUUCCUUCUGAUGGAGAUUUGGUAGAGCCUAAGCCCUCCAAAUUUGAAGGGUUUUACCGUACUCUGACAGUGGCGAUGAGAGAGGAAUAUCGAGCACCACCGCUGUUAGCUUGCAGUUCCUGCUGUGCAUUAUUUUGCCAUAUUUAUUGCAAAGUGCUUGCUAGCGAGAGAGAAGGCGGGUGCACUUAGCUCCCCAGACUAUGCUGUUUUGUGUCGCGCACUUUAUGGCGACAACACUUAUAGCUUGGGAGCUAUUGUGGCAUGUCGCCUUCACCUUAACAGAUCCAAGGGUAAAAUACAUGGUGGCAUUUACGCUACUCGCUUGGCGACUCACUUUAAUGUGCAGAUACGCCAGCAUGAUCAUCCUUUCCCUAGAGCUUACUUAGAUAGAGCAGCUAUGGAGGUCCACCAGUUUAUUGUUGCUAAUUACCCUAAUAUUGAUAUGCCUUACAACUUAGUUUUCAGUGAGAAAACUCGUGAUAUUAUCCCCUUUCCUGCACCUGCUUUGUUUGAUCAUGUUGCUAGGGGAGGAUACAGGAUUAUGCUUGAGGACAUUGUCGAUUACCGGAACAACCUGGCUGCAGCACAGGAGGAGCCUCAGCAGUGGGACCCUAUGGUGCCCGCUCCCCAGCAGUUCAACAUUGGACCUCAUGGCUUCUACGACUGGUGAUUACCAAGUAGGCCAAAAGCCUAAGCUUGGGGGAAUACAUAUUUCCACCGACAUUACAUUCAUUUUCAAACAUUUCAUUCUAGUUGUGUGUGUUCACACUUUUCCAUUGUAUCAUCCAUGUUAAAUUUAUUUUCUUGCUUUCUUCUUGUGCAUUUGAAAAACUAUGAGAAAAUCCAAAAAUAUGUUUCUUGAUUCUUUUUUAUUUUUCUUCCUAGUUUGAAUUGUUGUAGCACCAAUAGAAAACCCAAAAAGAUUUCCUUGUUCUCCUUUUACUUGUUGGGAGCUUUCCCGUGUAAAUAGUUUUUCUUGUUUUUGCUUUUCUCAUUCCAUUUGCUUGUUUACGGAAAACAAAAACUCAAAAAAUAUUUCAAUGUGUUUCUCUGAAUUUUUGUUCUUUUUAUUGAGUCAUAUCAAGGAGAAGACCAUGAUGAAAAUGUUGAGUGGCUCUCAUUUUGCUUUAUUGUUGAUCUAACAAAGAGCCCACAUUACCUUGUCUUCUCCUUUUGAAUAAAAUAUUUGUACAUUCCAACUUAGUCCAUGACAAUCUUGCACUAUUAUUAUUUUCAAAUCGUUCGAUCGUGGAAGUGAAAGCACUACAAAAAAAUACACUUCCAUGAUGAUACGUGUUUGUCACAGUAGGUCCCAUUUUCUGUCAUGCAUGUACAUCCAUGACGGUUUUAUGAUAGAAUCAAGAUAGUCAUACCUGUGCUGCUGUAGAAGUGUUCCAUGACAUUACCAAAAUUAUCAUCAUGGAAGUGUCCACUUCCAUGACGAUAAAUUGCGUGUCACAUAAGUGCUUUUGUCAAGGGUGACCGACACAUGGCAUCCACCAUAACGGAAUGCCGUUAAGCUAUCGGGUCCGGUUUUGGCUCUGAUAACCCGUUAACAGCCCGGACCAAUGAGGAUUUUCCAUGUGUAAAAUCAUCAUUGGCUGGAGGAAACACGUGUCAGCUCCGCAUUGGCACAGGUGUCACUCAUCCAAUGGGCGAGAUGCGCCUAUGAUACGUUGACACGUGUACCGGCCCAAAAGUGGCUCAUAAAGUUUAAAUGGGCUGUCCCAAAUAAAGGCCCACAAGAUUUUUGCGGACCAUAAUGGGCUAGCCCAACUAAACGCCCACGAGAUUUUGCGGACCAUAAUGGGCUAGGCCAGCUAAAGGCCCACAAGAUUUAGCAGGCCAUAAUUGGCCGGCCCAGGUAAAGGCCACGAGAUUUUGCGGACCAUAAUGGGCUGGCCCAGCUAAAGGCCCACAAGAUUUAGUGGGCCAUAAUGGAAUGGCCCAGGUAAAGUCCCACGAGAUUUUGUGGACCGUAAUGGGCGGGCCCAGCUAAAGACCCACAAGAUUUAGCAGGCCAUAACGGGCUGGCCCAGGUAAAGGCCCACAAGGUUUUUGCGGGCCAUAAUGUGCCGGCCCAGGUAAAGGCCCACAAGAUUUUUGCAGGCCAUAAUGGGCCGGCCCAUCUAAAGGCCCACGAAUUUUCGCCGACAUUAAUGGGCCGGCCCAGCUGUAGGCCCACAAGAUUUUGAGGACCCUAGUAGGCCGGCCCAUUAACUGGCUGCCAAGUUUUCGGCCAAAUGACGGCCCAUAUUUGAUCCGGCCCAUUAAUGGCGUGCCACAUUCCGGGCCUAAUAAUGGCCCAUGUGAGAUCCGACCCAUUAACAUCCUACCAUGUUCUGGGCCAAAUUACGGCCCAGAUCAGGUCCGGCCCUUUAAGAGACUUUGGGCUAAAUUAUGGACCAUAUGAGAAUCAACCUGUCAACUGGACGCUAUGCUUUUGCGCCCACUUGUUAAAGGCCCAUUUAGUAAUUCGGUAUGAUAUUAGUUUUGGCCUGUUAAGGGCCCGUUUAUCAUUUCGGCCCCAUAUUAAUUUUGGCCUGUUAAAAGCCCGUCAUAUAGUUGGGCCUAACUACGACCCCAUCAGCCCUGCUCGCAGCCGAUAAUCUGAUUGGGCCAAACAAGGACCGAGACAAUUUUGGCCUGUUAAAAGCCCGUGAUUUGAUUGGCACAAUCAUGGGGCGGGGUCCAUUUCGGGCUGCUACCGGCUCGUGAGCUGUUCGGCACGUUUCAGGCCCAACCUACUUCUCAGCCUCAUAAAAGCCCAUUGAGUUUUCUUGCAAAAAGAGGGCCGGCGGUUUACUCGGCCUAUUAAAGGCCCGAAUCUACUAGUGGGCCAAUUUACAUGUAGGCCUUUUAACAGACCAAUAUGACAGGGCCCAUGAUGCGUAUCAUACAUCAUGAUUGUACCAUAAUUUUACGAUUUGGCCAGUUUACUGCGAAGACAAGAUAUAUGUACAGUAAAAUAACUGCAGCAUCGUGAAUAACAAAAAACCUAGACUAUACAAUAAAGAAAUUACGGCAUAUUACAUCCACUAGGCAUCAAAGUUCGCCACUAUGAUAAUAAAGCACAAGCAGACAGCAGAUUACAUACACUGGGCAUCAAAGAUCGCCACCAGUGCAAAUAAACACGCCGACAAAAUAAUAUACAAAACCGGCAUCACUUCAAUAGAGUUCAAGAAAUAUUAGCCCUGCUGAGGAGCUGCAGCACAAUAAGCUGAGCAAGAUGAUGAGACUGCGCUUGUUUAACACUUAUAUCCUCCUCACUCUGAAUGAUAAACAACGAGACAGAUGGCAGGUUUUGCACAUAAAAGUAUCAGUGCUGAUAAUUCAUCACAUUUCUUACUGACGAAUAAAAUAACACACUUUAAAAUUGCAUUAACACAAUAUGGUAUUGUUCAGGUUAAGACAUGGCAGGAAAUGACAUUGUGAAGGAGUUGGCAGCUUCACGACACCACUGGAUUACAGAUCAAGAACUUAUAAGUAUCAAUGGUUAGUGUGCUGUCAAUUUAUCCCAUUUCAGAUUGACAAAUAAAGAGACGAUUUAAAUAAUAGUAGAAUGAUAUGGCAUUGUUCAUAGUUAAGACAUUGCAGAAUAUGACAUUGUGCUGUAGUUGGUAGGUUCACCACAUCACUGGAUUACGGAUCAAGAACAGAAGCAUACAUGCAGUGAAAAGAAGAUCACUUCCUCUGUAUAGUUUAAUUUACAUGGUAUGAAGAAGGAACUUGGUUAUACAACUGAAAACUUGAAUUGAGAAGGACAAACUUUUGUUUAUGAACUACAUAAUAGACUUUAAACAUGCAAUUUGAUGCAAACACCAAAAAUAAAUAGUUGUUGCAGUCAUGCCUAACCAAAUAUACACAACAAAGUUUGAAGGCUUGAGAAGGACAAACUUACAUUAUUGGUGAAGACAUGCUCUAUAAAGCCCUUGUCCAUGCUAAUGGGGGGGGGGAUUCAAGAAGUUUACCACAAAAUCUUCUUCAUAAGCAUUGCCUUUAUUCUACAUUUUGCUAAGAGUAAAUAUAUAUGUGAUAAUAUAAGAAAAAAUAGAGAAUAUUUAAGAUAAGACGAAGAGUGAUGCUACAUAACCAAGUAGCUAUAAAUGUAAGUACAGCGAUAUAGGCAAAAGGUACAGCCAAGAGCAAUGCAUAGCUAAACUUCUUCAGUACCAUCGGUGUUAUCCAACCUUAUGGUAAGAGUAAAUAUAGAUCUUAUGUGUAGAAAAUGGAGGGCAAAGGAAAAUAAGCUGAAAAGUGAUGGUACAUGAACGACUAGCUGUCAAUAUAAGUAAACUGAUAAAGGACAGCACAUACUUACAAGAACAAUGCAGAGCUAAAAAAAUUCAUUGGCAUUGGAUAUAUUCUACACUAAUGUAACCAUUCAUACAUAUCAGAUAACUUGGAGCGAACAAUUGAUAAGCAAGCUAUCAUGCGUACUGCUGUCACAUAAAGAACCAGGUAUGUAUGCAAGUACAGUGAUACAGGACAACAGGUACUGACAAGAACAAAGCGGCAGGCAGCAUAUUUGCGAUAUCCUGUCGUUCUUUUCAAACCGGAAUUCUUCUUCGAGCAGAUUUCCUACAAAAAAGAUCCGUAAGGCACAUGCAGAAAAGUAGAAGUUCAAAUUGUCAUGUGAUUUCAUAGACAUUACCUCAUCCUGGGAAUGAGACGAGUGCAUAAUAAGGUUUUUCCAUUCAAUGUCUUCUAAAUUUAGCACAGGAGAGUUCACCGGAAAUUCGUUUAUAGACUUGCCAUCAAAGUGAGAUUUCCUCAGGUAACACCGAUACCGCUGCAAUGCUUCCUUGAAAAGCACAAGCAAGCUUUGCUCGUCAUGACUAUCUAGAUUGACCCUCGCCUACUUACAACAAUGUAAUGUAAAUCAUUGAUGUGUUCAAUCAGCAGUAAACAGGAAAAUAAUAACCAUGAAUAAUAGCACUUACACGUAAGUUGGACAGGAAGAUGUGAAAAUGGUGUUUGUCUUCACUAUACUCUUCCCAUCAUGGGAAUAUAUGCACGUAGUCCCUAACAACAUUGAAAGCAUUGUCUUUUAAACUGGGAAUAACUGGAAUGGGGUUCCAAUCUGCAGGAAUUAGCCGUCUCUACAGUUGGGAUAGGCCUUCGGCCGGUGGACUUGCUGUACUUUUUGCUGGAGUGGGAUUUUUCUAUUGUACGACUGGUGCUAUGGCAACUAAAAUCAGUAUACCUUUUGCUGGAGUGCAGGUCCUGUAUGGUGGGGCUAGUGUUGUGGCCAGUGAAGUAUGGGUACAGUCUGCUGGAGUCGGUCCUACAUUUUGUGUCACUGGUUGUACAGCCAAUAUAAGUGGGGUGAUGUCUGAUUUCUCCGGCACCACCAAGUUUUUCAAGGACUUUGUUGGUGCUCCUUCAGGUUCGGCAAUCACCCUCUUCCUUUUUGAUGUCUGAUGCACAAGAACAUCAUUUGAGUGAAAAAACAUGGUAUCAUGACAGAUGGAUGUAUUGAAAAUGGAUGGGCAUGGCAUCUCGACAUAUAUGAUGAGUAAACUAAGCAGAUGGCGGUGCAACAAAGUAGAAGAAAUGCAAGACAACAUAUGCAAGAUACGCGCAAUCAAUAAAACCUUGCCAAACUAGAACAAGCACCUUGAUGGGUGAACAGGACAUGCCAUCUGCCUUUGACUCCUCGAGGUUAAAAUAGUCAUUAGGAUCAUAUUCUGAACAAGAAUCAACAGGUGGGGAGCGUAUGAGUUUCAUUGCAUCCAGAAUGGCACUCAAUGCCUUGGUCCCAAUUUUGUAAGUCAUUGCAGUGUUUAGCUUGAAGAGUGGACUGCUGCUAGUGCGACGCAAAGCGGCUACACAUAUCAUAGUGUAGAUAUAACAGGAAAACCGCAAGCAUCAGAGUAAAAUCAGCAAAGUGGAACUUGCUGGAAUAUAUGUGCUAGUAUUGCCGGUAUGGCUAGAAAGGCUUCAGAUACUAUCUCUCUUCAACUGAAGGUGUGACACUGUUAAUAUCAUUGUAACUCUCUAAUGCGACACAGCUCCUCGCAUUUCCUUGCUAUUCUUAUAGGAUUCAAGUGGGCAGGCCACUACAAAUCCUAUUCCUAUGUUUACAAAAUCCUACGAAUCCAAGAGGCCCGAAGAGUUCAAAGUGUCCAUCACAACCGACCGUAUAGACCUCUACACUACAAAUGUCCCUUCUCAUCUUCACUACAAGGAACAUACUGUACUACUAUCAUACUCCCAUCCGUUCCAAAAUAUAAGUCUUUGUAGAUAUUUCCACUAUGGAUCACAUACAAAUGUAUCCAGAUACAUUUUAGAGUGUAGAUUCACUCAUUUUGCUCCAUAUGUAGUCCAUGGUGGAAUCUAUACAAAGACUUGUAUUUAGGAACGGAGAGAGUACUUAUUAAAGAAGAAUGGAAGAGGAACAUGCUAAAGAAGAGCAAGCAGAUUUUGGAUAAUAAAAUGUUCGUUGUGCAGUGCCCACACAUGAUGAACUAGAGCGCAUUAAGAAAGCAAAUCCAUGUUGUCUCUCUAUAUGUGAUGCACGUGCUUUUCGAAAGUAAUGUAGGAACAUUAGCUGGUAAAUUAAAUGUUAUCUAUCUUAGUAAUAUGAGCAUCAUAUCAGAUUCGUACUUGAGCAACAAGUUUGGAACUAUGAGUGGCACAUUGUUUAGCUUGAUGGAUUCAGGAGUAGUGCUAAGAAGGUACGAUGAUGGUACUGAAUAUAAAGGCAUGUCUGCAUGCAAGUCGCGUGACUUUUGUCAUUUGGGUCAGUCGACCAUUUCAGGCGGUUGGAUGAAGAUCCUAUGUCACCUAACCCUUGUUCUUCCUCGUCUCUGAUUCUUCCCAUACAGAACACCGCACGAGCCGCCGCCGGACCACCGGCCCCCGCCGUCGGUGUUCCUCCGCCACCCCCACCCCACCCCCGCCCCCACCCUCAUAGAGUUUUCUUGGUUUGGCGAGGCCCCACCACCGCCCCGAACAACCACCAUCCCCACCCGAGCCCCUUCGUUGGCACCGGCGAACUCCGGCGAGCUCUGAAAAAUCGACUGACCCAAUUUUGAAAUUUAGUCUACUGUGAUUUAACUAGUGUGGAAUAUAAAAGGGGGAAACCAUAAACAUAGGGAGUAUAGUGUUGAGUGUGCCAUGGCGGAUCUGAAGGUGCAACCAAGACAAAGGCAGCUUCGCAACCAAUGUUUGCUUUCAACUAGCAAGUAAGUGAUGGACAACAAAUUAGAGUAAAGUAGUGGCGAUCUAUUUUCUUGCUAUAAUAAAUAAGUUGAGCAGAUACGAAAGAGUACCGCCUCUGGUGCGGCACCAUCCAUCUGCUGAGAAUUUGACGGUGCUACGCUAGCGAUGGCUGUUGGCGGCGUGGAAGCAGAUCUAGGAGGGUAGACGGUGGCGGCAGGGCGCGGUGGACGAGACGGUCGUAGGAGCGGUGCCGGCAAGGUGGACGACGAUGGGGAUGAAGUGAGAGGAUGGGAUGCAAGGAUCCCGGUACGAAGCCAUGGAUGAGAGAGUUCGAUCUCUUGUAAUGGACGGCGGUGUCGGGGUAUCAGCUCCGGCAUGGUGGAGGAGGACGGCGGAGGAUGGGGGUGGGGGUGGAGAGGGUGUUUUGGCGCAAACAGAGUAUGAAUGAGGAAAUGGAGGUAGCAAGGAAGGGGGGAACCAUGUCUUCAGGGUCGCUUGUCUCAAAUGCGAGGAAAUUUACAAACUUAGCUCCCGUUUCAAAUUUCCUACAUUACAGCAAUAUUAGUCGGUUGGGGAUAGGACGGUAAUCUUGCACACACCAAAUAUUUGCCGACGGGAGUGUUUUUGGCGCCCACCGUGUAUGAAUCGGGGAGGGAAUCGAUUUCGGCCGAGGACACACUGUGUUUUGGCGCCCACCGUGUAUGAAUCCGGGUGACAGGCGGUUAUGUAACGUUUGAGUGAAAUUACGAACCUACCCCUAUCAAAACCUAUAGAAAUCGAGCAGAUGGGCUUUGCGUGGCAGGGAUAGGCAACAGUAAUUUCCAUCUCGCAGAUUUUGGUUUCGGGCAGUUACUGUGACUUUCCCCAUUUCGUUCAAAUUUUGCAGAGUGCACGUUUACCGUGCCAACUCAAUUCGAAUCCCGUUAGUAUUCUAUUUUUAUCGGGCGGGAUCCAUUUUCGAUUGGAAUAAAAUUCUAUAUACAACAUUUUUUAUAUAUACUUUCAAAAUCACAACACUCUUUAUACAUAAAUAUGGUUUACAAAUGGCAUGAUCUCAGAUUCAUAAGGUUGUAUCCAUCAAUUUGGAUUUUCAAAUAUUUGAAACCACUUUAUGUUGAAAUCCAAUGUAUGCAUUCCUCGCUAACUGUCUCCAAUUAAUGUAUGUUUCAUGCGUUUUUUUACUUCUCAAACAUGUAUAAUGUGUUUCACGCACACAACAUAUAGUGUAAUCCCAUUUAGACAUUAAUUGCAUAUAAACCAUGCAUUGUUUCUAAUUAAAGAAUCUAUGGAUCACCAAUAUCGAUAAACUAUAUAACAUUACACGUGUCCCCAAAUUCAAAUGAAUAUGCAUGUUUGAUACACCAAUUUUUGUUAUGAUAUUAUCAAUCGAGUUAGAAUAUUUGAAUCCCCUUUAAUCCAGAUAUUCGUCUCAUAUAGCUAUCACUCAUGCUUAUAUAGGACUAUCUCUCUAUACCUAUACGCGUCCAUCGUCUCUCAGGUAUCUCCCGUGCUACCUGUAUGUCGACAAUGAUCUUUUAUCUUCGUAACACACUGAGGGUACUCUCUCCCUCAACCUUCAUCACUCUAUCUCUCUCUAAGUAUAUCUCGCUCCAUGUUAUGUGUCUCUAACUAUGAUUCUCCAUGUGGAAUCUCUUUCUCUCACACAAACACAAAAUUUUUUCUCCCGGGGUCUCAUUUCUCCCUAAUAUUCCCCUGUGUGCCACUCGCACACCCCUCAUACAGAGAUGUCUUUCACUCCUUAGGUAUGAGAACCUACGACUCUUCCUCUUAAAUAUCUCUUUCUCACACACAAACAAAAACUCUGUCUCCCAGGGUCUCAUAUUUCUCCAUUGUUCUCUUGUAUGUCGAUCACACACACUCUCUCUCCCUAGAGAUAUCUUGCGUUCCCUCAUAUGUCUCCCUAGCUAUCACUCUCGUUGUGAAAUAUCUUUCUCUCUCGCAGACACAAAAUUCCGUCUCUCGGGAUCUCAUUUCUCUCUGAUAUUUGUUUGUAUGUGACUCACAUGCACCCUCUCUCUAUCUCUACCACACCCACAUACAUAACUCAGCCUUCUGAUCCACUCGACUCCUAUCUCUAAUGCACACUAGCUAGCAUCUUUAUCUUUCUAUUUAUCUGUUUCUCCAUCAACCUUCUUUCUCUCCCUCACUGUUGCUUCCUAUCACGCACACUACAUAUGAUUGUCUCUACAUGCAGUCAAGUGCCCUCUUUUUAUCUUUCUCUCACACACACAUAACUUCACCCUCUGAACCACCCGUCGGUCAUCUCCAACACUCAAACUAGCGGAUGUCCCUCUAGCUAGCAUCUCCUUCUCUGUAUCUAUCUAUAGUUUCUCCCUCAACAUUUCUUUCUCGCACGCAGUCUUGCUUCCUAUCACCCACACUAUAUCUCUCUCUCCAUACAUAUGAAUUUAUAGGUUUAUCUCUUUUGCACAAUUGUUGUGCCUCACUCCCUCUGCUCGCCAUAGAUGCAUGCUCCAGCCCACGCCACUAUCUCUUAAAGAAAAAAACACAUGCUCAAUUGUCGGGCCUUCUUCCCUGCAUUCUCACAUGCAUGCAUAUUGUCAUACCGAUCCAUCUCUCCCAUGUUGUUCAUCUUAUGACUUAUGUCUUCUUUCUUUUUAUCUCGAUCAUGCGCGUGCGCACACACACACAUCCCACGUAUACAUGUAUACCUCUCACACAUGCAUGUUCAAGGUCUCUAUGUCUUCAUACGUAGUUAAUUACCCUGAACCCUAACGCCACAUCGAAUCGUUCUCUUCUUGUGUGCACAUAACUUCCGCCUGGAUGGGUAAAACACACACUCACACUUAACAAUCUCCUUCUAGCUACCUCCCCCUCUCGUCACUCUUCCCCUAUAUCCCCGAAACAAUAAGACCAUCCCUUCAUUUAAUUCCCGCCUACAUGCACCAUCGAUAUAUAGUAGUCUUCCUUGGUGUCUCUCGAACAAACACGUUCUCUCGAUGUCGACUCACGCGCACACACCUUCUCUUCCCUCUCUACGAGCAUUUUCUCUCUCGCACCCCAUUGUUGGUGGCCUCUGCCAUACACAUCACCUCUCUAUGAUGAAGCCAUAUGCACACUUAAAUUACAUCCGCCACCGAGGACCCCACGACACGCACACACACACACAAACACAAACACAGACANNNNNNNNNNNNNNNNNNNNNNNNNNNNNNNNNNNNNNNNNNNNNNNNNNNNNNNNNNNNNNNNNNNNNNNNNNNNNNNNNNNNNNNNNNNNNNNNNNNNNNNNNNNNNNNNNNNNNNNNNNNNNNNNNNNNNNNNNNNNNNNNNNNNNNNNNNNNNNNNNNNNNNNNNNNNNNNNNNNNNNNNNNNNNNNNNNNNNNNNNNNNNNNNNNNNNNNNNNNNNNNNNNNNNNNNNNNNNNNNNNNNNNNNNNNNNNNNNNNNNNNNNNNNNNNNNNNNNNNNNNNNNNNNNNNNNNNNNNNNNNNNNNNNNACACACCCCACACACACACACUAAGACUCCAUCUCACACACACAUGCUCUAGGCGGAGCAUUUGUUCCUACCACCCAUCAUCCAACCUUAACCGUAUGAUAAACAAUCACCUUAAUUUACUUGUAUAACAUGGAAAAAUCCCACUUUCUUUAGUAGUUAGCAAACUUAUCAUCUGUACCCUUAUAAAAAACCGAGUUGGCGAUGAUGGUGUGCCUUCCAUAUUGUAAUAUAGACCGUCUGAUCUAUAUCUGACGGAUAAAAAGCAAACUAUGAUAAAUUUACAAAAGAUACCCGCAUCUCUCUCCACAUCCUUAUCUCCCACAACAUCAUUGUUGAGCAAUUAAAAAAGGAAGUCUCUGGAACAAUAUAGCAUGGUGGCCGCAGCCGCCUGCCGGCGCCGUCCAUCCCCAUGCCUCCGCCCAUUCCGACCACCAGUCACCACCACGCUCCACUCCUCCUCACCUUAUCUCUCAUCUUUCAUUUUUUCGAUGACAUUCUUGAGAUACCAGUUUUCUGAUAAAACGGAUAUCAUUAGUUUUUACGCAUGGGAUUACUCCUGCAUGGGUCAAUCACAACAGGUGUUUUGUAAAAAAUGCAUAUUGAUGUUCCGUGCAAUGCACGAGCAUCUUGCUUGUAAUUAUAUAACGCAAAUCACGAGCAGCAAGUGACAUUUUUUUACACAACCACGUUAACAUGGCCACGUAAAUCACUAGCUAAAGUAAAUACCAUUAUACUUAUGUACCGAUGCAAAAGCUUGAGUACAUGUCCGAAGAGUAGAGUCGCACACAUGCACUCUGUCUCUCAGAAUCUCUCUCUCUCUCUCUCUCACACACACACACACACACACCAGUUACGUGACGCCCACUUAAGCAGACACGUAUGUUACAAUUAGUGCACCGGCGGGUACACGUGAUGUUGCGCAUUUAUUUAAGCCGGACGGCGAACCCAAACAGUAGCUGCAUUCAUUCCCCUCCCGCCGCCUCUUCUCUGGUCACCGUCACCCGGUAGCCAUGGCCCGGCCGAAGGUAACUGGUAACAACAUACGCCAUACUCCCGCCGGAGCGGCACUUUAAUUUGGAAAUUUUAGUGGUCAUGCAUGCAUCUUUUUGUGCUAGCACUCCUAUAUAAGGGUUGAUUGGUCGCUUCCCCCGGACGUGCGCGGGCGGUGGAAGAGGAAGGAUAAGGGAAGAGGGUUGUGGAGUAACAUUUUUACCACAAUUUCUUAGGAAACUGAGUGCAAUAAUUGAGUAAUUUUGCAAACUACCAGUACUACACCUGAAACGGUUCAAAACCUAUACUCCCUUGCCAGCGCACGCUUCCUGUGUGAAACGGUCAGCGUUGCCCUGGAGUGUCAGUGCCGCAUUAAUGCCCGGCCAGAGCGGAGGCGACCUCUCACUGGCGCCAGCUUUGAAGCGGCGCGACGGCCGAGAGAGCACCGCUUCCCAUUGUCGAGGAUGGCCAUAGGCCCUGUUUGGAUCCAUGGGUUAGAGUUAAUUUGAGCUAGUUGGGGCUCAAAUAGCCCUAAAGUAUCCAAGCAUGAGGGUUUAAAUUGGAGCAAGUUGCACUGAACCCACAAAAAAAACUAUCCCACCCAAGAGGUGCUAACUGGAGAUAGUUCUCAUUAGGACCACAGAAAAAUCACUUUUCUCUCUCCAUCAAGUGCAUUUAUUGUCAAUCUAACCCUGUCACCCAAACACCUCUUUGGCUACAUUUAGUUCAGGGUUAGUCAUGAGUUAGUCUAACCUCUAGCUAAGUUAGAGUAUCCAAAUAGGAGCAGUAUAGGACAUGCAAGUUGCUCAAAGCAUACAGUCAAAUUCGUACGUGAAAGGAUUUUUUUUCUUUUUGAAAAUGGAACGUGAAAGGAAUUUUUUUAGAAUGCUCUUGGCAUGUCGCUAACAUGUGAUGAGUUAGCCGACCUCAAUAGACGGCAAAAAUGCCAGCCCACCGCACUUUGAGAGAGACGAGGAGGGAGAAGCAAUACAGGCUGCUGGAUUACUAGAGAUAGGUGUCGCACAGAAGCCAAGAAAUAUGGUGAUAGCGUGGGUUAGCCAUGUACUAGUAUGAUGUAACUACACUGGGCUGCCGUGUUUCGUACUCUUCCGGUCCACUGUGGAGAUGAUUGGUUGACUUUAUAUCACUGAAUAAUACAAAAUAUUAUGAGUGCAAACGCUCCACCAUGAGGUUCCUUGCUCCUUCUCGGUCAUCAGGAAUCUAUGUUCUUCCACUCUAUUUUUUACGUGAGCUUUGUUCAUCCUUUUGCCAACACGCGAGACAUCUAGCAUCAAGGUGCACAUGUCAUGCAAGGAUCGUUUCCAUCUAUAUGAAGAACACGUGGGACCGGAACUACGAGACGGACAUGUACCCAUGAGUGGACGUAUGAACCUGAGUAAUGUAGCGCAGUAAGUGAAGUAGAAAGGCACAAAUGGUAUGAAGAUGUGUGGCAUAUAGGGUGUGUUUGGUUGCGUUCUCGUCUCAACAUAGUUGUUCCCUCUUCAUGCAUGCUCAACUCAACACCCCUCUUCAUGCAUGCUCUCUUCAUGCAUGCUUCUAGUGUAUUUGUGCUAAACUAGUGUGGACUCAUGCACCCUCCAUACACUCUACCAAACACCCACAAGUGGGUCGAGAAGGGAACUCUUGGGUGGCAUUUGUCUCUUACUAUGUAUACCACUAAAUGUUGUACGUGCAAUGCACGGUGAUGUUAUGGAGUACGUGCCUAAGUACUCUACUACUACUAUAUUAGUUGGAGGCACAUAUUAGCUUUUAUAUUUGUUUACGUGUAAGCCCCGAGACCUUCCAACUAGAGUGUCUUUCUCUCCAGGUCGCACUUUGUAUCGUUCAUACCACUAGUACUACUACGUGUGGUCUCCGACCCAGAAGUGGAAGAAGUGGAGACGCUCUACCACGCUGUUUUUUUUGGCGCUGGGCUCUACCACGCUGUUCAUGUCCCACUCCUUUCGCUGACGUGUGGGACAUCCAACACGUGCCGUGUUUGGCACUCUUCGUCGUAAGAGUUGAAACGCUAGCAUUCACUAGAAAUAGAAAAUAAAUAUAAAUCAGCAGUCAUACAAUUUUUUUGAGAACCAAUCAGCAGUGAUACUAUACCACGCGGUUUCCUUGCUCCUCGAUAUCGGAAAGAAUACUUCCGUUCGCCAACAUGUGGGACGUCGACCAUCCUGGUCCACUUGCCAUGCAUGCAGAACUCCAAGGGAGAGUCACCCCGGUUGUCGCGCCGUAGUAAUAAUUACUAAUGAGCCGUAAAAUAACAGGCCCAACAUUUCCCACUUUGAAGUUGCUCGGACGAAGGAACCAUCAUGACUUCAUUGAAUUCCGCUUCUAGAAGAAAAAACUACUGUAUCGGCAAUACUGCUAUCUACAGUAGUUACUCCCACAGAGGCCUCCUUUCGUUCAUAGGAUAGGAAUUUUAUAGCAAUAUGAAAAUCAUAGGAAGUGAGAUUACAUGCAUCUCAAUUCCUAUAGAGAAAGAGAUGCCAUUUGAUGCAUAGGAUAGGAAUUUUUCCAUUGAGUCUAGGCUAAUGUACUGGUAAUUUGCUCUAAAAACUACAGUAGUAACUAGUAGUACUGGUACAUGCUCGUUGUCAGACACAAACACACACACUAACUACUAGUACUACUACUUCUCACAUGCUGGCCAGACGUCGUUGUUCUCCUUCCCGGCUUUGUCGGCGACACCCCACCGUGCGUGGAUCUCCGCCGACCUCUCCGCAGCAGCGCGUGUGUCCUCUUCUUUCUUGCGGCGGCGGGUGUAAGGGCAUACUUAUCCCGAAGGUGUUUUGGUGAUUGAUGACAAUGCUUUUGCGGACUAAUCGUGUGCCUUGAGUAUCUCAGACAAUUUUUCACUAGGCACAAGACGGUAUGGUGCCCCUCGAAGACUAUUGAAGACGGUGUUUUUCUAUGGUUCUUUUCGGUGGAUUUGAGUCAUAGGAAAGUCGUACUAUUAAGAGGGGGUCCGCGUUGGAAAGGUUCGGGUGGAAUCAUCACGUACACAUUUUCUCCCUUUUCACUGCCUUUCCCUAUGCGCUUUGGAGCAUCCUCCGUUUUCUUCAUAUUUUGCAAAAAGAAGGAUUCCUAGUGUUGCCGUUCUGAGGCAUGCGGUAGUACUGCUCUUAGGAGCGGUAGUACCGCAGGCCCCCGCGGUAGUACCGCACGCCGUUGUGGUAGUACCGUAGGUGCCCAUGGUAGUACCGCUCCUAAGGAGCGGUAGUACCGUGGCCUCGGACCAGACCCAGCCGCCCGUGCGGCUGUAGGGGCGGAUGUAAUUUUUUACAUCCGCGCCCUACGCAGUAGUACUGCCCCAUGCGUGCGGUAGUACCAUGGGUCCUUGUCUAGCACAGCAACAUGAGCGGAAGUAGGGGCGGAUGUAAUUUUUUACAUCCGCUCCCUGUGCGGUAGUACCGCAUGCCAGGUGUGGUAGUACCAUGUCGAAUUUUUGCACCGUUUGGUUUUCAGUGGAAGUAGGCACGGACGUAUUUUUAUUCAUCCGCGCCCUUCCCAGGCUAGUCCAAUUCGGCCUCACGGUAGUACCGCAAGGGGGAGCGGUAGUACCGCGCCAGCGGCAGUACCGUCCUCAGCCUUUGCGGCUCCGGCCUAGACUAGCUCGUGCCGUAGCAGCGGUAGUACCGCGGUCUGCCGCAGUAGUACCGUGAGCCCUUGCAGUAGUACCGCUUGUCUGGGGCGGUAGUACUACAAGUCACGGGCUGGUUAAGUGGAUAACGGUUGGAUUUGUCUUUGAACUAUAUAAGGGGUGUCUUCUUCCUCUAGUUGACCACCUCUUCCAAACCUAAGCUCCAUUGUUGCUCCAAGCUCCAUUUUCGCCCGAUCUCUCUCCCUAGACACUCAAACUUGUUGAUUUGCUCGGGAUUGGUUGAGAAGACCCCGUUCUACACUUCCACCAAGAGAAAUUUGAUUCCCCCACUAAUCCCUAGCAGAUCUUGUUACUCUUGGGUGUUUGAGCACCCUAGACGGUUGAGGUCACCUCGGAGCCAUAGUCAAUUGUGGUGAAGCUUCGUGGUGUCGUUGGGAGCCUCCAAUUAAGUUGUGGAGAUUGCCGCAACCUUGUUUUUAAAGGUUCGGUCGCCGCCUCCAAGGGCACCAAUAGUGGAAUCAUGGCAUCUCGCAUUGUGUGAGGGCGUGAGGAGAAUACAGUGGCCCUAGUGGCUUCUUGGGGAGCAUUGUGCCUCCACACCGCUCUGACAGAGACGUACUUCCCCUCAAAAGGAAGGAACUUCGAUAACACAUCCUCGUCUUCACCGGCUCCACUCUUGGUUAUCUCGUGCCUUUACUUGUGCAAGUUUACUUGUGUUGUUUCCCUUGCUUACUUGUGUGCUUGUUGUUGUUGUAUCAUAUAGGUUGCUCACCUAGUUGCAUAUCUAGACAACCUACUUUGAUGCAAAGUUUAAUUUGGUCAAGAAAAGCUAAAAACUUGUUAGUUGCCUAUCCCCCCCUCUACUCAACUAUAUCGAUCAUUUCAAUUGGUAUCAGAGCCUCCUCUCUUUAUUAAGUACUUUGCCGUCCGAAGAGUAUGGUUGACACCGUAGACGGUGGAGAGGAGCACUCUGGUGUGAAUCUGAGCUCGUCUAUGGCCGAAGGGGGAACCGCGGUCUCUUGUGAGGAAUUCAAUGUGGCUUUGGAUACAUUGAAAACCUCCAUGACGACCGAGGUUCAAAGCAUGUUUAAUAAAUUCUUAGAAGGACUUAAACUAUCUACCUCGCCGAUGAAAGUGGGUGAUCCCACUAACAAGGUGACGGAUGCUAACUCCAACAAGGGGGAAGCUAAUAGUGAAAACGGUCCUUCUACUAGUGGUAGAAAUGGCACCGGCAUCUUUGCCCAUGUGGAACCCCCAACUUAUGGAGGACCAAUUUCCUCUACUCAUUUAAAUCAUGCCGACCCUCCUCCUAAGAUUGUGAAAAAUGAGGACUUUGAUUCUUGGGUUUACCGCUUCAAGCGUCAUUUAAAUCAUGUGAAUACUAAUCUUUGGAGAAUGAUUGAAGAAGGUUUCUAUCCACAUGACCGAAGCAACUUCACCCCUAGAGAAGCCGUGGAUAAUCAAUUCAAUGAGAAUGCUAUCUUCAUCAUCCAAGAUGCAAUUCUCCCCGAAGAUCUCCCUCAUCUUCGACCCUACGCCAUGGCCAAUGAUGCAUGGCAUUGUGUUGUGUCUCUCUCUCGGGGAAGCGUGAGCAUUCAACGCUCCAACUAUGAAGUGGUGCAAGAUGAAGCCGAUGAGUUUGUGAUGAAAGAAGAUGAAGAACCUCGUGAGCUCUUUCGGAGAGUUACCAAACUCGCGGUUUAACUCCGAGAUCAUGGGAGAAAGGACACGGAUGACAAUUGGAUUAAGCGCAAGUUCCUCCAAGCCAUGAUGCCCUACAACAAGGCCAUGUCCUCCGACAUACGUCAAAGACUGGACUCGCACUCCAUGACCUCAAGUGAAGUGUUGGAUGAAUUCGUGGCAAUGAGCAUUUUGGACAAGACCGCCGACAACACGGUGUUGCAUUCUCAAAGAAAAAAGAAGCCCAACCUUUCCUUGAAGGCCAAGGUUAUUGUGGAAGAAGAGGAAGAAGAGGAAGAUGAGGAGGGCAGCCCCGAGGAUGCAAAAUAUGAUUAUCAUGAGCACAUGGCUCUUGCUUCAAGGCAAUUUUGGAGCAAGAAUAACACAAGGCCCAACUUCAACAAGAACAACUCAAGCGGGUUCAAGGGCAAUCAACGAGUGAGAACCUGCUACAAUUGUGGCAAUGUGAGCCACUUUGUUGAGGAUUGUCCUUACAAGAAGCGAGAAGACAAUGGUGGCAAGCUCAUCCGAAAAGACAAAGCCAAGUCCUUCCCCAAUAAGAACAACUUCACCAAAAAGACUCCUACUCGAGGGUUGGUGGUUCAAGAAGAAUACCAUGAGGAUGACGAUGAUGAUGAAGAUGGGGAAGCAAUGGCCAUGGCAUCUGUUGCCAUCGCCACAACUCCCCGGGUGUCUCUCUUCGAUUCACCCAACGAGAACAUCACCGCCAAGUGCCUCAUGGCAAAAGCCACUAACAAGGUAACCCCCAACAUCAAAACCACCAUCAUUACUAAUCCCUCCUUGAUGGAUUGCAUUAAUGAAAAUGAGGGGUCUAAUGAAGAGAUAAAUUAAUUUGAGUCUUUUAUGAGUAAACUCAAGGGCAAAUCCAAGAAGCACUUCGUUGUUCUCUUGGAACAACUUGGUGAAGCCAAUGACAUGAUUGAGGCUCAUGAAGAAACCAUCUCUAAGAUGGAAGGUCAUAGUCGUGACUAUGUCAGUGAGAUAUCGGAUCUCUAUAAUGCUCUUGAGGAAGAGCAUGGGCAUCGUUUGGCUCUUGAGGAGUCACACAAUGAUGACCAUGCUAAAGUAAAGAAAGAUCUUGAUCAUGCUCUUGUUGUCUCUCGUGUGCUAAACUCCGAGAAGGCUAAACUUGGGGUUGACCUUGCUAGACUUAAAGAGGAGUUUGAUUUACUUGACAAGGCUCACAAGGCCUUGAAGGGUGCUCAUGCUAGCCUCAAGGAGUCUCAUGAUCAACUCCAAGUGAAGCUAACCAAGGAGAAAGCCACCUUUCCUCAUAUGGUCUUAAUUGAUAACGCAAAUGCUACUAACCCGUGUUGUGAGCAUGUGCAUCUUGUGGAGGAAAAUGCCAAGUUGAAAGAGCAACUGGAGAAAGGCCUUGUGACAUGCAUACAAGGUGAGGAGAACCUCAAUGACCUUCUGAGCAACCGAAAGGAAGUUGUGGCCAAGGAGGGAGUUGGGUUCGCACCCAAGUCCAAGAACAAGAAGAAGAAUGACAAGACCAAGUGACCUCCCCCUCUCAAGAAAACAUUUGUGAAGGAGGGAGAGGGUGCUCCUAUGGAGAAUAAGAACAAUGUGAAGGGUGGUUAUGUCAAAAAGGGCAAUGCCACCCCUUCCAACAAAGCCGGCGACUUUAACCUUUCUUAUGUGUUAUGCCAUGCUAGUGAUGGGCAUGUUAUGCUAAAUUUGUUGGUUCUUCUUAUGACUACAUUGAAUGGUCUAUUUGGGUUCCCAAGACCCUUGUUACUAACAUCAAAGGACUCAUUACUCAAUGGGUACCUAAAACCAAGCAUUGAUCUCAUGUAGGUGUUUGCUUCCGAUGGAGGAUCAUGGUUGCUCGAUAGUGAAGCCACAAAUCAUAUGACCGGAAGCAAGGACUUGGUGGUGGAUGUGCAAAGGAUUCCAUCUAUGCCCACCAACAUCGAGUGGGGUGAUGCCUCAUCUUCUAAGGUAUUGGGUCUUGGCAAGGUUAUCAUUUCUCAGGAUCUCACGAUCGAGAAAGUCAUGUUUGUUGAGUCCCUUGCUUACAAUCUACUUUCCGUUUGUCAACUUACACUCAUGGGCUUUCCACUUUCUUUGAUAUUGAUACCGUGGCCCUCUUGUGGAGCAGGACUCUUAAAGUAGCCUUUGUUGGGCAUGUCGAGAACGGUCUUUAUGUGAUUAACUUUUCGGAGCGACCCACUAAGAUCACGACAUGCCUAAUGGCUAAAGUUGAUGUGGGAUGGCUUUGGCAUCGCCGUUUAGCCCAUGUCAAUAUGAGAUCUUUGCAAAGUCUUCUGAAGGGGGACCAUGUCUGUGGACUAACAAAUGUUAGUUUUGCCAAAGAUCGUGCUUGCAGUGUUUGUGUCGAGGGAAAGCUUCAUGAGACAGCUCACCCUCCCAGGACUAUUGAGGGAGUCCCGGACUAGGGGGUGUCCGGAUAGCCGAACUAUCAUCAUCGGACGGACUCCAAGACUAUGAAGAUACAAGAUUGAAGACUUCGUCCCGUGUCCGGAUGGGACUUUCCUUGGCGUGGAAGGCAAGCUUGGCAAUACGGAUAUGUAGAUCUCCUACCAUUGUAACCGACUCUGUGUAACCCUAGCCCUCUUCGGUGUCUAUAUAAACCGGAUGGCUUUAGUCCGUAGGACGAACAACAAUCAUACCAUAGGCUAGCUUCUAGGGUUUAGCGUCCUUGAUCUCGUGGUAGAUCUACUCUUAUAACACAUAUCAUCAAUAUUAAUCAAGCAGGACGUAGGGUUUUACCUCCAUCAAGAGGGCCCGAACCUGGGUAAAACACCGUGUCCCUCGUCUCCUGUUACCAUCCGCCUAGACGCACAGUUCAGGACCCCCUACCCGAGAUCCGCCGGUUUUGACACCGACAUUGGUGCUUUAAUUGAGAGUUCCUAUGUGUCGUCGCCGAUAGGCUCGAUGGCUUCUUCGAUCAUCAUCAAUGACGUAGUCCAGGGUGAGGCCUUCCUCCCCGGACAGAUCUUUGUAUUCGGCGGCUUUGCACUGCGGGCCAAUUCGCUUGGCCAUCUAGAGCAGAUCGAAAGUUACGCCCCGGGCCGUCAGGUCAGAUUUGGAAGUUUGAACUUCACGGCUAACAUCCGCGAGGACUUGAUCUUCGAUGGAUUCGAGCCACAGCCAAGCGCGCUGCACUGUCACGACGGGCUUGAUUUAGCUUGCAGCCGGACAGUACCCUGGAGGCCGCACUCGAGCCCGCUCCGAUCUUCAAUUUGGAGCCGGCUGCGCAGAUCGAGGAUGGAUGGCUAGACAUCGCCUCGGGGGCUGCAACCUCUAUGGUGAUAGAGCCGAACACUGAUCUUGUCCCUCACGAGGCUCGUGACUCCGAGGUGCCGGACUCCUUGCCGGACUCCGAACCUCCCGUGCCCCCACCAAUCGAAUCCGGUUGGGCGCCGAUCAUGGAGUUUACUGCCUCGGACAUCUUUCAACACUCACCUUUUGGUGACAUCCUGAGUUCGCUAAGGUAUCUCUCAUUAUCAGGAGAUCCCUGGCCGGACUACGGCCAGGACGGUUGGGAUGCGGACGACGAACAAAUUCAAAACCCACCCACCACCCACUUAGUAGCCACUGUCGAUGAUCUAACCGACAUGCUAGACUACGACUCUGAAGACAUCGACGGAAUGGACGACGAUGCCAGAGACGACCAAGAGCCAGCGCCUACCGGGCACUGGAAAGCCACCUCGUCAUAUGAUAUAUACAUGGUGGAUAUCCCGAAGGAUGGGAAUGGCGAAGGGGCAGCGGAGGAUGACCCCUCCAAGAAACAGCCCAAGCGUCGGCGUCAGCGGCGCCGCUCUAAAUCCGGCCAUAGCAAGAAUGAAGAUUCCGGCACCGGAGAUAAUAACACCCCGGAUAGUGCCAAAGACAACCCAGUCCAGCAAGAUCCAGCGCAGGAGGACGGGGACGCCAGCCCUCAUGAGAGAGCGGCAGAAGAAGAGGUAGAGGAAUAUAUGCCUCCCUCCGAAGACGAGGCAAGCCUCGACGACAAUGAAUUCGUCAUGCCAGAGGAUCCCAUCAAACAGGAACGUUUCAAACGCAGGCUUAUGGCCACGGCGAACAGCCUCAAGAAAAAGCAACAAUAGCUUAGAGCUGAUCAAGAUCUGCUAGCCGACAGGUGGACUGAAGUCCUCGCGGCCGAAGAGCAUGAGCUUGAACGCCCCUCCAAAAGCUACCCUAAACGUAAGCUGCUCCCCCGAUUAGAGGAGGAGGCAUAUGAACACGCAUCACCAGGAGACAAUACGGCUGAUCGACCACCCCGUGGUCGCGACAGAGAGGCCUCUAGGCCCUUCACUAGACCCGUACCCCGGCAUCGCUCGAAAAGCACAAGGCCACAGGGGAACGCUCCGGACUUGCGAGAUAUAUUGCAGGAUAGGGCAAGACAAUCAAGAUCGAUCUAUGGAUCGCGUGGGCGCCCCAUGAUACGUGACGACAACCGUCGCACCAGACACAGUAAGUCCGGCCGGGCCGAACAAAACAGACAAAGCUCUUUUGAGCUCCGUCGUGAUAUCGCCCAGUACAGAGGCGCCGCACACCCACUGUGCUUCACAGAUGAAGUAAUGGAUCAUCAAAUCUCCGAAGGGUUUAAACCCGUGAAUAUUGAAUCGUAUCAUGGCACAACAGACCCCGCGGUUUGGAUCGAAGACUAUCUCCUUCACAUCCACAUGGCCCCCGGUGAUGAUCUUCACGCCAUCAAAUAUCUCCCCCUCAAGCUUAAAGGACCAGCCCGGCAUUGGCCUAACAGCUUGCCAGCAGAGUCAAUUGGGAGUUGGGAAGACCUGGAAGCCGCAUUCCUCGAUAACUUCCAAGGGACAUAUGUGCGACCACCAGAUGCUGAUGACCUCAGCCACAUAAUUCAGCAGCCAGAUGAAUCGGCCAGACAAUUCUGGACACGGUUCUUAACCAAGAAAAAUCAAAUCAUUGACUAUCUGGAUGCAGAGGCCCUAGCGGCCUUCAAGCACAAUAUCCGCGACGAGUGGCUUGCCCGGCACCUGGGAUAGGAAAAGCCAAAGUCCAUGGCAGCCCUCACAUCACUCAUGACCCGCUCCUGUGCAGGUGAGGACAGCUGGCUAGCACGCAGCAACAACCUCAGCAAAAAUUCUGGCAGCCCGGACAUCAAGGACCGUAAUGGCAGGUUGCGUCGUAACAAAAACAAACGCCACAUUAACGGCGACAACAGUGAGGAUACGGCAGUCAAUGCCGGAUUCAAAGGCUCUAAACCCGGUCAGCGGAAAAAGCCAUUCAAAAGAACUACUCCGGGUCCGUCCAAUUUGGACCGAAUACUCGACCGCUUGUGCCAGAUACAUGGCACCCCCAAAAAGCCAGCCAACCACACCAACAGGGACUGUUGGGUAUUCAAACAGGCAGGCAAGUUAAUUGCCGAAAACAAUGACAAGGGGCUGCAUAGCAAUGACAAGGAAGAGACCCGACCGCCGAACAAUAGAGAACAGAAGGGCUUCCCACCAUAGGUGCGGACGGUGAACAUGAUAUAUGCAACGCACAUACCCAAAAGGGAGCGGAAGUGUGCACUCAGGGAUGUAUACGCGAUGGAGCCAGUUGCCCCAAAGUUCAAUCCGUGGUCCUCCUUCCCGAUCACUUUUGACCGGAGGGUGAUGGGGUUAUGUACCUAGGGUAGGGUCAUGGACCUGUUCCAAGUAACUUACCCUAGGACAUCCCUAGAAGAGGUCGCCUUCCAGUCGACCAACGAGGAUUCACUCGACUGGCCUGAAGGACUCGACCACGAAGACUCACUCGACCACCAGGAGGUCAAGAGGCACUCUGCACCGCAACGGCCUGUAAUUAAGUAGACUUUAUGAUAGUAAAGGCACUUUAUGUGGGGCGUUACCAGUAACGCCCCAGACUUAACUCACCUUAAACCCUCUCCUACGUGGGCUGGCUGGGGUCCUGGCGCACUCUAUAUAAGCCACCCCCCUUCACAGGCAGAGGGGUUCGGCACCUUGUAAUCCAUACAUUGAUAAUCCACUCGACCGCCUCCGGGCUCCGAGACGUAGGGCUGUUACUUCUUCCGAGAAGGGCCUGAACUCGUACAUCCUUUGUGCUUACAACCUCUCCAUAGCUAGGACCUUGCCUCUCCAUACCUACCCCCCACUCUACUGUCAGGCUUAGAACCACGACAGUUGGCGCCCACCGUGGGGCAGGUGUUUUAGCGAUUUUGUGGAGAAGUUGCGAUUCUUCAGAGUACUUUCAUCAUGGUGUCUGCUGGAAUUUUGGUCGAGGGUCAAGAGAUCCGUCUCGGCGCUCUCGCCUUCAUCGCCGACGACUCCGCAUGGCUCCAGGAGGCUCCACUCGACGUAGAUGCGCUCCCCGUCCGCGGUGCGACGCAUUUUCGCGCAUGUGUCCGCGGCGUUCUGCUGCGGCAACCAUCGACCCAGUAUCGGUCGGCUCCUCCAUCUUCCACCCUCCCGGUCUCCCGCCAGCGCAAGCGCUCAGGCCGGUCGAGGCUUCAACGAUGGGUGAGUCACGCGGUGGCUCGCCAGUCGGCCACUACACAAGUUGCGGCAAUCGAGCCCAACGAAUCUCUCUACGGCUUGUUCGAUCAGUCGACUGGCUCCGGAGAGACUGCAUCCGAGUGCGGAAGCAGUGAUCCAGCGGCGGAAAUCUUGAUGGUCGACGGGCCCCACAGUCCUCCUGGCUUCGCCCGUGGCGGUGGAGCAGGCGACGGCGGUGACCCUGCACGAGGCUACGAAGAGUACCAGCCCGAGCCACUCGACUCUCUGCAAAGAGAAGAGCUUCGCCGCAGGAACGAGGAUCCCCUGCGUAUUCCCAUCGCAGGAGAAAUCCCCGAGGCUCGUGCCUUGGAGGAGGCGCGUCUGGCCAAUUUGGCCGAGCGCACUCGACUGGAGAACCUUCAGCGAGCACUCGACGAGCGCGCGCGGCAACGAGUUCCCGACACCAGUCGACGUCAACUCUUCCCGCCGACUCAGGUAUAUCGAACCCCAAUUCAGAAUUUAGCAGCUGCGACCCGUAUAGCAGAGUCCAUUCAGCCUUCGCAGUCAGAGGCUGGCAGAGGUUUGCUGCAGAUCAGGGAUCUACUCCGGGCAGCAGGAGAUCAGAAUUCAGCCGUGUCUCAGUCGCGCAACAGAAUUCACAGUCGAUCUGUCACUGUGAAUACGGUUCAGUCGGCUCACAGCCCCAGAUCGCCUCCGCGGCGCGAAGGGCGUGAGAAUCGGCGAGAUCAAUAUGGCGACAGACUCGACCGAGAUGAUAGGCGUCGAGUGCCCUAUUCCCCUCCGAGGGGUGGGUCUUACGCUCCUCGGCAGCCAGAUGAUAGGCGUCAGUACAGUACAGGGCGUAGGGUUCCAGUUGACCCCAGAGAGCCAGGCUUCGACGCGCGAUCCAUUAUCGUGCAAGAGUUGGUCGACCGGAACAGAGCCCAUCGAGGUGCACUCGACAGAGAUGUACCCACGAGCAGUCGAGCACAUGUUUCUGGUCCUGAAUGUUUCAGCAGAGCUAUCAGAGCCGCAGUUAUCCCCCCCAAUUUCAGGUUGGCAACAGGAGUCAGCAAGUUCACUGGUGAGUCUAAGCCUGAAACUUGGCUUGAAGACUACCGAGUGGCAGUUCAGAUCGGUGGUGGGAACGACGAGGUGGCCAUGAAGCAUUUGCCCCUCAUGUUGGAAGGUUCUGCCAGGGCAUGGUUGACUCAAUUACCUCCUAGCAGCAUUCACACUUGGGAAGAUCUGUCCCGAGUGUUCGUCAGAACGUUUGAAGGGACUUGCAAGCGACCAGCGGGAUUGACAGAGUUGCAAGUCUGCGUGCAGAAAACUAAUGAGACUCUCAGAGAGUAUAUUCAGAGGUGGAUCACUUUGCACCACACUGUGGAAAAUGUCUCUGAUCAUCAGGCAGUAUGCGCCUUCAAAGACGGCGUGAAGAACAGAGAACUGAGUUUGAAAUUUGGUCGAACCGGUGACAUGACCUUGAGUCGGAUGAUGGAGAUUGCUACCAAGUACGCCAACGGUGAAGAAGAAGACCGACUCCGAAGCGGCAAGCACAAGCCGAGUCAGUCGGAAAAAGGAAACACCAGUCGGAAACAGAAGCGGAAGGCUGAACCGGCAGCUCCUGGAGAGGCUCUGGCCGUGACUCAAGGAAAGUUUAAGGGGAAACCAAAAGGAUCCUGGAACCCCAAGAAGAUAAAGGAUAAAGAAGGGAACGACGUGAUGGAUAUGCCGUGUCAUAUUCACACGAAGAAAGAUGAAGAGGGGAAUAUCAUUUACCCAAAGCACACCACUCGCCAAUGUCGACUCCUGAUCCAGCAGUUUCAGGGAAAACAGUCUAAGGACAAGGAGAAGGAGUCGGACAAGGCCGAAGACAAAGAGGACAGUGAGGGAGGAUAUCCGCAUAUCAACUCCACUCUGAUGAUCUUUGCAGAUGUGGAAAGCAGAAGUCGACUGAAAGUGAUUAACCGAGAGGUGAACAUGGUUGCCCCAGCAAAGGCAAAUUAUCUGAAGUGGUCUCAAACACCCAUCACAUUCGAUCAAUCUGAUCACCCGACUCAUAUUGCCACCCCCGGGAGGCAAGCUUUGGUGGUCGAUCCAGUUGUCGAAGGCACUCGACUGACAAAGGUGCUGAUGGAUGGUGGAAGUGGGCUGAACUUAUUGUAUGCAGACACAUUGAAAGGUAUGGGCAUUCCGAUGUCCCGACUGAGCACUAGUAACAUGAGCUUCCAUGGAGUUAUACCAGGGAAGAAGGCCGAGUCACUCGGCCAAAUAGCUUUGGACGUAGUGUUUGGUGAUUCGAAGCAUUUUCGCAAAGAAAAGUUGACAUUUGAGGUCGUGGAUUUUCAAAGUGCAUAUCAUGCCAUUUUGGGGAGGCCGGCCUAUGCACGGUUCAUGGCUCGACCAUGUUACGUAUACCUCAAAUUGAAGAUGCCCGGUCCCAAAGGUGUGAUCACUGUCACCGGUGAUAGGAAAAAGGCAGAGGAGUGCUUUCAGAAGGGCUCCAAGAUUGCCGAUUCCCAAGUGACAGCGGUCGAGUUCGAAGAAUACAAGCAAAACGCAGAUCCGAGUGACUUGCUGCGAUCCAAGAAGCCCGCCACAGAGUCUGCAUUCCAGUCGUCCGGUGAGACGAAGCCUGUUCACAUUCACCCGACCGAUCCCGAAGCAGUUCCGACCCGCAUCUCCACAACACUCGACCCAAAAUAGGAAGAAGCGCUCAUCCAGUUCCUCCGUGAGAACUGGGACAUUUUUGCAUGGAAGCCCGCUGACAUGCCAGGUGUUCCCAGGGGACUGGCUGAGCAUCGCCUAAGAGUCGACUCGUCUGCAAAACCAGUCAAAGAGCAUCUUCGGCGGUCCGCCGUCCAGAAGAGAAAGGCCAUCGGUGAAGAAGUGGCUCGACUGUUGGCGGCAGGAUUUAUCCGAGAGAUAUACCACUCCGAGUGGCUCGCUAAUGUCGUCAUGGUUCCUAAGAAGGACAAGUCGCUCCGAAUGUGCAUUGAUUUCAAGCACAUCAACCGGGCCUGCCCGAAAGAUCACUUUCCUCUCCCUCGCAUAGAUCAAAUUGUUGACUCGACCGCGGGAUGCGAGAGGUUGUCUUUUUUAGAUGCUUACUCCGGGUACCACCAGAUCCGUCUGUACGGGCCCGAUGAGGUAAAAACAGCUUUCAUCACUCCAUUCGGGUGCUUCUGCUAUAUCACCAUGCCAUUCGGCCUCAAGAAUGCCGGAGCCACUUUUAUGCGAAUGAUCCAGAAGUGUCUACUCACUCAAAUCAGUCGGAAUGUGGAAGCUUAUAUGGAUGAUAUUGUUGUCAAGUCACGAAAAGGUUCCGACCUGCUCGCUGACCUCGCCGAAACAUUUGCCAACCUCAGAAGGUAUGAUAUCAAGCUCAAUCCAUCAAAGUGCACAUUUGGAGUUCCUGGUGGCAAGUUACUCGGUUUUCUCGUUUCCGAACGGGGAAUCGACGCCAACCCAGAAAAGAUUGGCACUAUUCUCCGAAUGAAACGCCCUGUGCGAGUGCACGAUGUCCAGAAGCUUACUGGAUGCUUGGCCGCAUUAAGUCGAUUCAUCUCACGACUCGGUGAAAAGGCAUUGCCUCUUUACCGACUGAUGAAGAAGGCUGACAAGUUCGAGUGGACUCCAGAAGCUGAUGCAGCGUUUGCCGAGCUAAAAGCUCUGCUCUCCACCCAGCGGGUGCUUGCUGCUCCAAUCAGCAAAGAGCCUCUGUUGCUCUACAUCGCAGCCACAGGACAAGUCGUCAGUACUGUGCUAACGGUCGAGCGGGAGGAAGAAGGAAAAGCUCUCAAAGUUCAACGCCCAGUGUAUUAUUUGUCUGAAGUCUUGACUCCAUCCAAGCAGAGAUAUCCUCAUUAUCAGAAGCUUGUGUAUGGAAUAUACAUGACCACAAAGAAGGUUGCUCAUUAUUUCUCUGACCAUUCAAUCACAGUCGUCAGCGACGCUCCACUAUCAGAGAUUUUGCACAACAGAGAUGCAACUGGUCGAGUGGCCAAAUGGGCGAUUGAACUUCUUCCCCUUGAUAUCAAGUUUGAGGCAAAGAAAGCCAUUAAGUCCCAGGCAAUAGCAGAUUUCCUCGCCGAGUGGAUCGAACAGCAGCAGCCGACUGAAGUUCACUCGGAGCAUUGGACCAUGUUUUUCGAUGGUUCUAAGAUGUUGAAUGGUUCCGGUGCUGGGGUUGUCCUGGUUUCCCCCAGAGGAGAUAAGCUCAGAUAUGUGCUCCAGAUUCACUUUGAUUCCUCCAACAAUGAGGCAGAAUAUGAGGCCCUCCUAUAUGGGUUGCGCAUGGCCAUUUCACUCGGCAUCCGUCGCCUAAUGGUCUAUGGCGACUCGGAUUUAGUGGUCAAUCAGGUGAUGAAAGAGUGGGACGUGAGAAGCCCAGCCAUGACUGGAUACUGCAGUGCAGUGAGGAAGCUGGAGAAAAAGUUUGAGGGGUUGGAGCUCCAUCAUAUACCCCGACUGAAAAAUCAAGCAGCUGAUGAUCUAGCAAAGAUAGGUUCCAAGAGAGAAGCCAUUCCGAGUGGUGUGUUCUUGGAGCAUAUACACACUCCGUCAGUCAAAGAAGAUCCUUUCACCGAAGAAACUCCGCAGCCCAAGAGUGCCACAGAUCUGACUGAAGUUGAAGUCCCAGCGGUGGUCGACUUGAUCAUGGAGGUUUUGGUAGUCAUUCCCGACUGGACGAUUCCGUAUGUCGCAUAUAUCUUGAGGAAAGAGCUUCCGGAGGAUGAGGAAGAGGCUCGACGGAUCGUCCGUCGAUCUAAGGCCUUCACCGUCAUCAAAGGACAAUUAUACAGAGAGAGCGCGACUGGAGUCGGUCAGAAGUGCAUAACACCAGAAGAAGGUCGACUCAUCCUCAAUGAUAUUCACUCGGGGACCUGUGGUCAUCAUGCGUCCUCCCGGACCAUCGUGGCCAAAGCAUACCGAGCCGGAUUUUUCUGGCCCAAGGCGAAUGAGAUGGCAAAGGAGAUAGUGGAUAAGUGCGAGGGAUGUCAGUUCUACUCGAAUAUGUCGCACAAACCUGCGUCAGCUUUGAAGACCAUCCCACUCGUCUGGCCUUUUGCAGUUUGGGGGCUGGACAUGGUCGGCCCUUUGAGAACAGGACGAAGUGGCUUCACGCAUGUACUGGUGGCAGUCGACAAGUUCACCAAGUGGAUCGAGGCUAAACCAAUCAAGAGCCUCGACACCGGUACUGCUGUUAGCUUCAUCAGGGAACUAAUAUUCAGAUAUGGAGUCCCGCACAGCAUCAUUACGGAUAAUGGGUCGAACUUUGACUCAGAGGAAUUCAGAACCUUCUGCAACUCCCAGGGCACACGGGUCGACUACGCAUCAGUCGCCCAUCCGCAGUCGAAUGGGCAAGCAGAGCGAGCUAAUGGACUGAUUCUCAAGGGACUGAAGCCUCGACUGAUGCGUGAUCUCAAACACGCGGCUGGAGCUUGGGUCGACGAACUUCCAUCUGUACUCUGGGGACUGCGGACCACGCCUAAUCGGUCGACCGGAAGAACUCCAUUCUUCUUGGUCUAUGGAGCUGAGGCAGUCUUGCCGAGUGAUCUUCUCCACAAUGCUCCUCGAGUUGAAAUCUACAGCGAAGCAGAAGCUGAACAAGCGCGGCAGGACGCAGUCAACCUUUUAGAGGAAGAAAGGGAGAUGGCUCUGAUCCGGUCGACCAUCUACCAACAAGAUCUGCGGCGUUUCCACGCCCGAAAUAUGAGAGGUCGAGCCUUCCAGGAAGGGGAUUUGGUUCUCCGAGUAGAUCAGCACAAACCACACAAGCUUGCUCCUUCUUGGGAAGGCCCCUUCAUCGUCACCAAGGUUCUCCACAACGGGGCGUAUCGUCUUUACAACGUCGAGCAUAAUAUCGACGAGCCCCGAGCUUGGAACGCGGAACUACUCCGCCCGUUUUACACUUAAGCUUUAUCACUCGGAUGAGUUGCAAUAAAGUACUUCUGUAGUUCAUGGACCCCAAAAUAAUAAGUGUCAUAGUUCCUCCAUAAUAUCUGUCACUUUUUAUUUUUUGUCCAAUGAAAUUCCCCUCAGUGGGUGACUUAGCUGCGAAUCCGUUUCGCCUAAGUUUGUAAAAAUCCUACCGAGUGAAGAGCAACCCUCUCACUCGGGGGCUUAGCUGCGAAUCCGUUUCGCCUAAGGUAUCAAAUUCCUACCGAGUGGUGAACCAGACUCCCACUCGGAGGCUUAGCUGCGAAUCCGUUUCGCCUAAGUUAUCAAAAUCCUACCGAGUGAAGAGCAACCCUCUCACUCGGGGGCUUAGCUGCAGUCCAAGCACUCGCCUAAGUUGUAAAAAUCCUACCGAGUGGUAAGCCAGCCUUCCACUCGGAGGCUUAGCUGCAGCCUCGUGCUCGCCUAAGUUAUAAAAAUCCUACCGAGUGGUAAGCCAGCCUUCCACUCGGAGGCUUAGCUGCAGUCCAAGCACUCGCCUAAGUUGUAAAAAUCCUACCGAGUGGUAAGCCAGCCUUCCACUCGGAGGCUUAGCUGCAGCCUCGUGCUCGCCUAAGUUAUAAAAAUCCUACCGAGUGGUAGAGCAACCCUCUCACUCGGAGGCUUAGCUGCAGUCCAAGCACUCGCCUAAGUUGUGAAAAUCCUACCAAGUGAAGAGCAAUCCUCUCACUCGGGGGCUUAGCUGCGGCCCUGUGCUCGCCUAAGUUACAAAAAUCCUACCGAGUGAAGAGCAACCCUCUCACUCGGGGGCUUAGCUGCAGCCCAGUGCUCGUCUAAGUGGACUAAAGAAUAAGUCGAUUGCAGCACAGGCACCUUGCUUUGAACCUGCAAAAGACAUUCCGAGCCGAAGGCAAUCGUAUUCAAGCGCCAAAUUCAAGUUUGAAUUGAUAUCUAAAGGAACCGAAAGUGCUCAGGCGUCAAGCCUGUUAAGGUUUGUCGGUUACAAUUCCACUCGGCAUACCGAGGCAAAUUUAAAGCGUCGAGCCAGAAGAAGUUUUUUACCCCUCCUGUGGAGGGCUGGAAGGUGCAACAAAUUCAUCAAGGUCAAUCCCGUCGGCGAUCCGAGUGGCAGCUGCAAGGAAAGUUUCCAUAAAGGAUCUGAAGUCGUGCUUCUUGGUAUUGGCCACCCGAAGGGCCGCCAGCUUCUCUUCUCGCGCAUCUUUGCAGUGGACUCGGGCCAGACACAGAGCGACAUCUGCACCACACCGAGCCGAGGACUUCUUCCACUCCUGCACUCGACCAGGGAUCGUGUUCAAGCGGGCCAUCAGCGACUCAAGGUCAUUCUGAAGUGUCUCCUCAGGCCAGAGCGUCGAGUCGAUGCGAGAUGUGGCGGCCUUCAGCCUUGCGAGAUAGUCCACGACAGCUGCGACACGAGACUCCAGUCGGAAAACAUCCAUGGCAACUUCGUCGUUCACCAGAGAAUUGACGGGGUCAAGGUUUGGCUCCAGUCGGCUGGUUUCCUCUUCGAAGUUUUGACAAAAUUCUGCAAGGGUGAUCACUAAGUCAAGGGGAUAGUCAAAUGGAAGAAGCCACAGUUGGAAAUAUUUGCCAAACAUGGAGGUUUACCUUCAAGCAUAAGAAACAGCUUCUUGGCAAGGCCACUCAGGAAGGCCUCCAGUUCAGUUUUCUUCUCAGUCAAUUUGCUGACUUGGUCGGUCAAGGCAGCUUUGUCAGUUCUCAGUCGACUGACUUCCUUGUUGGCAAUCCCAAGAGCAGUUUUCAGAUUGGUAUUGUCUUGUUCGAGCUUGGUGACUGAAGCUAACUUCUCGUCAACAAGCUUGAUCUUCUCAGCUAGCUCAAGGUCUUUCUUCUGCUGGGCCUCCCUUACCUUGCCUGCAAGUUACAGCAAGAUCAGGUGCUGAAACAAGCAAGGGGAAAAGCAGUCGUCAGGGUCUCACCAAACAUACCUUCGGUCUCCUCCUUUGCCUUUGUCAGCUUCUCCUGAACCAGCUUCAAGCUCAGCUCGACUUGAGUAUGUUUUUGUUCCAGCUCUGAGUAGCGAGCCACAAGAUCACAGGAGUUCUGCGAAGAACCAAUCGACUAAACGUCAAAUGUAACUCACUUCCGAGUGAAAAAGGGAAAAACACAAGUUUCUAAGACUACAGCCGAAUACAAGCAUUCGACCGUAGUCUCGGGGACUACACCCAGUGGGUGCACUCAGCGUGCCCCCACUAAUCCUGUUGAAGAUAAAGUCGACCAGUCGACCUCAAAAAAAAAAC
rnacentral:lncRNA from 1 species